rnacentral:rRNA from 1 species
CCUACGGGUGGCAGCAGUGGGGAAUCUUUCACACUGGGCGCAAGCCUGAUGCAGCCAUGCCGCGUGUAUGAAGAAGGCCUUCGGGUUGUAAAGUACUUUCAGUCGUGAGGAAGGUGUUAAGGUUAAUAACCUUAGCAAUUGACGUUAGCGCCAGCAGAAGCACCGGCUAACUCCGUUCCAGCAGCCGCGGUAAUACGGAGGGUGCGAGCGUUAAUCGGAAUUACUGGGCGUAAAGGGCACGCAGGCGGUUAAUUAAGUUGGAUGGGAAAUCCGCGGGCUUAACAUGGGAAUGGCAUUCAAGACUGGUUAGCUAGAGUCGUGUAGAGGGGGGUAGAAUUCCAUGUGUAGCGGUGAAAGGCGUAGAGAUGGGGAGGAAUACCGGUGGCGAAGGAGGCACCCUGGACAAAGACGGAAGCGCAUGUGCGAAAGCGUGGGGAGCAAACAGGAUUAGAGACCCGUGUAGUC